rnacentral:rRNA from 1 species
AAAAAAAAAAAGGGGNNCCAAAUGAGGCCCUCUGGGUCAACCUCCCCCCGUGUUUAUCCUACCUUGUUGCUUCGGCGGGCCCGCCUGACGUCGCCGGGGGGCAUCCGCCCCCGGGCCCGCGCCCGCCGAAGACACCAAUGAACUCUUGUCUGAAGAUUGCAGUCUGAGCAGAUUAGCUAAAUCAGUUAAAACUUUCAACAACGGAUCUCUUGGUUCCGGCAUCGAUGAAGAACGCAGCGAAAUGCGAUAAGUAAUGUGAAUUGCAGAAUUCAGUGAAUCAUCGAGUCUUUGAACGCACAUUGCGCCCCCUGGUAUUCCGGGGGGCAUGCCUGUCCGAGCGUCAUUGCUGCCCUCAAGCACGGCUUGUGUGUUGGGCUUCGCCCCCCGGCUCCCGGGGGGCGGGCCCGAAAGGCAGCGGCGGCACCGCGUCCGGUCCUCGAGCGUAUGGGGCUUUGUCACCCGCUCUGUAGGCCCGGCCGGCGCCCGCCGGCGACCCCAAAUCAAUCUAUCCAGGUUGACCUCGGAUCAGGUAGGGAUACCCGCUGAACUUAAGCAUAUCAAUAA